CCUACGGGUGGCAGCAGUGGGGAAUCUUCCACAAUGGGCGAAAGCCUGAUCCAGCCACGCCGCGUGAGUGAAGAAGGUCUUCGGAUCGUAAAACCCUGUUGUUAGAGAAGUAAAUGCGUGAAAGUAACUGUUCAUGUUUCGACGUUAUCUAACCAGAUAGCCUCGGUCAACUACGUCCGCGCAGCCGAGGUAAUGCGUAGGAGGCUAGCGUGAUCUGGUUUUGUUGGGCGGAAAGGGAGCGUAGGCGGUCUUUUAAGUCUGAUGUGAAAGCUUUCGGCUGAACCGUAGUAGUGCAUUGGAAACUGGGAGACUUGAGUGCAGGAGAGGAGAGUGGAACUCGAGGUGUAGCGGUGAAAUGCGUAGAUAUAAGGAAGAACUCCAGUGGCGAAGGCAGCUUUCUGGUCUGUAACUGACGCUGAGGUUCGAAAGCGUGGGUAGCAAACAGGAUUAGAUACCCCAGUAGUC
rnacentral:rRNA from 1 species